GGACUACUGGGGUUUCUAAUCCUGUUUGCUCCCCAUGCUUUCGCGCCUCAGCGUCAGUUACAGCCCAGUAAACCGUCUUCACCACCGGUGUUCUUCCACAUAUCUACGCAUUUCACCGCUACACGUGGAAUUCCGUUUACCCUAACUGUACUCUAGCUAGGUAGUUUCAAAUGCAGCUCCGGGGUUGAGCCCCGGAAUUUCACAUCUGACUUACCUUGCCGCCUACGCGCCCUUUACGCCCAGUAAUUCCGAUCAAUGCUUGCACCCUCCGUAUUACCGCGGCGGCUGGCAC
rnacentral:rRNA from 1 species